rnacentral:rRNA from 3 species
GUACGGCCGCAAGGUUAAAACUCAAAUGAAUUGACGGGGGCCCGCACAAGCGGUGGAGCAUGUGGUUUAAUUCGAUGCAACGCGAAGAACCUUACCUACUCUUGACAUCCAGCGAAUCCUGUAGAGAUACGGGAGUGCCUUCGGGAACGCUGAGACAGGUGCUGCAUGGCUGUCGUCAGCUCGUGUUGUGAAAUGUUGGGUUAAGUCCCGCAACGAGCGCAACCCUUAUCCUUUGUUGCCAGCGGUUCGGCCGGGAACUCAAAGGAGACUGCCAGUGAUAAACUGGAGGAAGGUGGGGAUGACGUCAAGUCAUCAUGGCCCUUACGAGUAGGGCUACACACGUGCUACAAUGGCGUAUACAAAGAGAAGCGAACUCGCGAGAGCAAGCGGACCUCAUAAAGUACGUCGUAGUCCGGAUUGGAGUCUGCAACUCGACUCCAUGAAGUCGGAAUCGCUAGUAAUCGUGGAUCAGAAUGCCAC